UACGUAGGGUGCAAGCGUUGUCCGGAUUUAUUGGGCGUAAAGAGCGUGUAGGCGGCUUGGUAGGUCCGCUGUGAAAACUCGAGGCUCAACCUCGAGAUGUCGGCGGAAACCACUUGGCUAGAGUCCGGAAGAGGAGAGUGGAAUUCCUGGUGUAGCGGUGAAAUGCGCAGAUAUCAGGAAGAACACCUAUGGCGAAGGCAGCUCUCUGGGACGGUACUGACGCUGAGACGCGAAAGCGUGGGGGAGCGAACAGG
rnacentral:rRNA from 1 species